GACGAACGCUGGCGGCGUGCCUAAUACAUGCAAGUCGAACGCAGUUGGGACGGGUGAGUAACACGUGGGUAACCUACCAUCAGAGGGGAUAACACUUGGAAACCGGUGCUAAACCGAUAUUAAAGGCUGGACCCUCGGUUCAUUAGCUAGUUGGUGAGGUAACGGCUAACCAAGGUCACGAUGCAUAGCCGACAUGAGAGGUGGAGUGGCCACACUGGGACUGAGACACGGACCAGACGCCUACGGGAGGCAGCAGGAGGAAAUCUUAGGCAAUGGACGAAAGUCUGACCGAGCAACGCCGCGGGAGUGAAGAAGGUUUUCGGAUCGUAAAACUCUGUGGUUAGAGAAGCGGGAUCUAACCAGAAAGCUACGGCUAACUACGUGCCAGCAGCCGCGGUAAUAC
rnacentral:rRNA from 1 species